rnacentral:rRNA from 1 species
GACGAACGCUGGCGGCGUGCCUAAUACAUGCAAGUCGAGCGGACGAAUCGAAAGCUUGCUUUUGAUUCGUUAGCGGCAGACGGGUGAGUAACACGUGGGCAACCUGCCCUGUAGACGGGGAUAACACCGAGAAAUCGGUGCUAAUACCGGAUAACACGAAAUGUCGCAUGACGUUUCGUUGAAAGACGGCGCAAGCUGCCGCUACAGGAUGGGCCCGCGGCGCAUUAGCUAGUUGGUGAGGUAACGGCUCACCAAGGCGACGAUACGUAGCCGACCUGAGAGGGUGAUCGGCCACACUGGGACUGAGACACGGCCCAGACUCCUACGGGAGGCAGCAGUAGGGAAUCUUCCGCAAUGGACGAAAGUCUGACGGAGCAACGCCGCGUGAGCGAAGAAGGCCUUCGGGUCGUAAAGCUCUGUUGUUAGGGAAGAACAAGUAACGCAGUAACUGGCGUUACCGUGACGGUACCUAACGAGAAAGCCACGGCUAACUACGUG